rnacentral:rRNA from 5 species
GAACGGGUGAGUAACACGUGGGCAAUCUGCCCUUCACUCUGGGACAAGCCCUGGAAACGGGGUCUAAUACCGGAUAACACCUGCCCGGGCAUCUGGGUGGGUUAAAAGCUCCGGCGGUGAAGGAUGAGCCCGCGGCCUAUCAGCUUGUUGGUGAGGUAGUGGCUCACCAAGGCGACGACGGGUAGCCGGCCUGAGAGGGCGACCGGCCACACUGGGACUGAGACACGGCCCAGACUCCUACGGGAGGCAGCAGUGGGGAAUAUUGCACAAUGGGCGAAAGCCUGAUGCAGCGACGCCGCGUGAGGGAUGACGGCCUUCGGGUUGUAAACCUCUUUCAGCAGGGAAGAAGCGAAAGUGACGGUACCUGCAGAAGAAGCGCCGGCUAACUACGUGCCAGCAGCCGCGGUAAUACGUAGGGCGCAAGCGUUGUCCGGAAUUAUUGGGCGUAAAGAGCUCGUAGGCGGCUUGUCACGUCGGGUGUGAAAGCCCGGGGCUUAACCCCGGGUCUGCAUUCGAUACGGGCUAGCUAGAGUGUGGUAGGGGAGAUCGGAAUUCCUGGUGUAGCGGUGAAAUGCGCAGAUAUCAGGAGGAACACCGGUGGCGAAGGCGGAUCUCUGGGCCAUUACUGACGCUGAGGAGCGAAA